UUGAGAUAAUGUAAUUCAAUAAUUACGAAUACUUAUAAACUAGUAUUUCAUAUUUAACGGAGAAGGGCCAAAUAUAUCAUGUCCUAUCGGAAAAGGGCCAAAUAUAUCCCCUCGUUGUACUUUGGGUCCAAAUAUACCCCUGCCGUUAUACUUUAGCAUAAAUAUGCCAUUUAAUUUAACGAAAGGACAUGUGUCAAGCCUGGAACGAAUAAACUCAUACCCGAUUUAAAAUAUCCAUUCCAUUUUAGAAACCCACCCGACCCAAUCUCCUCAAAAUUAUACAGCCGACAUAACAAGGAAUUUUAGGUCAUUUAACAUAACAACAAUUUCAACCCUUGAUGAUUCCAAAAGAAGCACAAUACAUAGGGAAUCCUGCGAAUCAGUUAAGUUCAUCUCCCCCAAUAAGUCAUCUUUCAUCGACGAUUGACUUGACACAAUUAGCCGGAACAAAAGCCUGAAGCUUAUGUGAAGGUGUAACUCGAUUUUGCAAGAUAGCCACACUACCAAUCCGCAUGUUUAUCAACCAAACGUCACUUUCCAUUAAGCGAAGAGCAUCAUAUACAUAUGCAGAAUAUGAUCCGCUGGACAGGAUAGUCGAUAGGAGGUGAAGUGCUUCAAAUUUCAGUGCAUUAUGCAGUAAAGCAAACUGCUUUGCCACUGCAACUACCACCAUAGACAGGAUAUAAGGCGAAGCAUCCCAGGUAAUUUGCCUCCAUCGAUGACUAAUAUUCCAGCAUCCUCCAUGUACAGUGCGAGAUCAGGACCUAACAGAAGCAGAACAGUGAGUGUAUCCGACUCCCCACUUGCUACGAGCUGCAAUGGUAGUUCAGAAGUGAGUGUCAAUAACAAUGCAGUGUGUGUUGAUGGGAGUGAAGUUGAUGAUGCUAUUAGCGGUGAUAAAGGUGCUAGAUCUCCUGCCAGUAUGCAUGGAAGGUAAUGAUUGCCCUUCGCCUAUGCAAGAUUAAGAAUUAUAGUUUUGAUUCAGUGCCGGAAUGAGAGUCUUUGGCGUUUGAAUUAUCAUUGUUUCCUGGGAAGAACCGAGGCGUAUGGUUAUCUCAUUAUGUAAAGAUUGAUGCACAGUUAGCUAUAUUAUUUGAAGCCAGCCUUAUCUCA